GCUGGAAACUUUAUGCAGGACCCGUCUUAGUUCUUGCCAAACAAUGGAAAUGAGUGCAAACUGCUGGCGAUUGUUCUGGUUGGAUUCAGUCCAUUUUCUCGAAAACCAGCAAGAAAGUGAAUUUGAAAACAAAUGCCUCGGGUCCUUUUGAGUGUGCCAAAUGGGAAUUUAAAUUUAAAAAAAUUAAAACCAAAGCGAAUGGGGACUUGCAGUAUCUGCGACUUAUAAAAGCCACUUGAAUGAACACUUGCUGAAAUUUUGAAGCAGAUCGAAGCGGAGGCUGAUUUUGAACUUGGAACAACUGUUUGUCGGGCAAUGCUGGCAUCAAAAGACUGAUUUACCACUACUUGAACCUGACUCGAAAGCUAGAUCCGCCCCUGCACUAAUAGUGUUUAAUGAAUUACCAGAGAAGCUCCCGAAGCAACUUGCAUACCUUUGAGGUAAGUGAAACACUAAAAAUAGCAAAACCUUGGUGAUAUAUUGAAAAACUUGCACAAAGUCAGCCCAAUUACUGGGCAGCAAUAUUGGACUAUAGCCAUUGCAUGGCUGCGUAAAAGGCAGUCGCCCGGACCUUCAGGUUGCUCACUCACUCCAUUAGCAAGCUUUUGGUUCGCAACUAAAUACUCGUUAAAUCUGCUUCGGAAGAAUUCAUCUAUCACCUUGAGCGUCCCCAGAGUGUAGAAGCACAUAAAGCACAAGAACAGCAAGCUGCGUAAUAAAGAGAACAUCCUCCAA